rnacentral:lncRNA from 12 species
GUAGGGAUCCCUGGGUGGCUUCCCGUUGACAUGGACUAACAAUACCUCCCUUUGUCUACCCUGGAGACGCGGAGACAUGCUGGCGGGCCCUGUGGAAGAAGAGUGGUCCAGGACGGGGAACCUGCGCACGGAUCACCAGAGGUGCUGAGGCC